UGCAGUCGAGCGGACUUGACGGAGCUUGCUCUGUUCAAGUUAGCGGCGGACGGGUGAGUAACACGUGGGUAACCUGCCUGUAAGACUGGGAUAACUCCGGGAAACCGGGGCUAAUACCGGAUAUUCUUUUUCUUCGCAUGAAGAAGAAUGGAAAGGCGGCUUUUAGCUGUCACUUACAGAUGGACCCGCGGCGCAUUAGCUAGUUGGUGAGGUAACGGCUCACCAAGGCGACGAUGCGUAGCCGACCUGAGAGGGUGAUCGGCCACACUGGGACUGAGACACGGCCCAGACUCCUACGGGAGGCAGCAGUAGGGAAUCUUCCGCAAUGGACGAAAGUCUGACGGAGCAACGCCGCGUGAGUGAAGAAGGUUUUCGGAUCGUAAAGCUCUGUUGUCAGGGAAGAACAAGUACCAAAGUAACUGUUGGUACCUUGACGGUACCUGACCAGAAAGCCACGGCUAACUACGUGCCASC
rnacentral:rRNA from 1 species